AACGAACGCUGGCGGCAGGCUUAACACAUGCAAGUCGAACGCCCCGCAAGGGGAGUGGCCGACAGGUGAGUAACGCGUGGGAACAUACCCUUUUCUACGGAAUAGCUCUGGGAAACUGGAAUUAAUACCGUAUACGCCCUACGGGGGAAAGAUUUAUCGGGGAAGGAUUGGCCCGCGUUGGAUUAGCUAGUUGGUGGGGUAAAGGCCUACCAGGGCGACGAUCCAUAGCUGGUCUGAGAGGAUGAUCAGCCACAUUGGGACUGAGACACGGCCCAAACUCCUACGGGAGGCAGCAGUGGGGAAUAUUGGACAAUGGGCGCAAGCCUGAUCCAGCCAUGCCGCGUGAGUGAUGAAGGCCUUAGGGUUGUAAAGCUCUUUCACCGAUGAAGAUAAUGACGGUAGUCGGAGAAGAAGCCCCGGCUAACUUCGUG
rnacentral:rRNA from 1 species